UACGGGGGGAGCAAGCGUUGUUCGGAUUUACUGGGCGUAAAGGGCGCGUAGGCGGUCAGCACAAGUCAGUUGUGAAAUCUCCGGGCUUAACUCGGAAAGGUCAACUGAUACUGUGCGACUAGAGUGCGGAAGGGGCAACUGGAAUUCUCGGUGUAGCGGUGAAAUGCGUAGAUAUCGAGAGGAACACCUGCGGCGAAGGCGGGUUGCUGGGCCGACACUGACGCUGAUGCGCGGAAGCCAGGGGAGCGAACGGG
rnacentral:rRNA from 1 species